rnacentral:lncRNA from 1 species
AUGAGAUCUUGCAGAUGGCAGGAAGGAAUAGAAAAAGAAGCAAGCCUUCUAGCUUCCAAAUGUGAGACAAUUCUCUCCUCACAGGUGAAGUCUGUCUCAGAGAACUCAUCUCCACAGCAGCGGGUGACAGGCUAUGCUGCUAAUUCCUGUGGGGAGUCCACCUGGGAUGCUGGCACUGGAACAUCUUCACUACCACCCAUUCCCAGGCAGGAUUUCAUCCCUUUAAGAGGACUGGCUGAAUUCCCACCUCUAGUGUUGCAGUCUGCUUGAAAACUCAGACAUUGAUAAAGCCAUUAAGGUUCCAGAAGAAGCUUUAAGAGGAAGUGCCAGAACUUUGUUAGGGAAAGACUGCAGUACUUUUAGUCCCUGAGGAGGCCUGGCAAGAUUAUAAAGUGUGCUCUGCAGAAGACUGAGAGGUGGAGGAAGCAGACAAUAUGGAAAGUUAAUUGGAAGAAGGAAAAGUAUAAAAGAGGUACAGUGCAUGGGAAUGUAAAGAGAAAGGAAAUGAAUGAUGAGAGAAUGUGAGUCUUCUCUGGUUCAGUGUUAUGAUAUCACUGUCUGCAUUUGUCACAUAAUUUAAAAGUGACCUGCAAAUGAUUAUUUUUAUUACAUUUUUUCAUCACUUCUUGAUGACUUAAAAUGAAAGCUUGAAAGAGUUCACAGCUUGAUUUUUUUAAUAUACUCACUGUUGUUCUGUAUCUCAAGCAUUUUGUAUUCACACAAUUCUUGCCAGCACAAUUAAAUUAGCUUAGAUUGAUUUUGCUACAUUAAUGUAUGAUAUGUCUCCUACAGACACCCAAACCCUCAUCAGCAUCUGGGGGACACACUUCAGUUGGUGCAGUCAUUUUCAAUAGAUUUAGUUUCUGUCCAUAGGAAAUAGAUAAACUGGCAAAGCAUUUGCUGUAGUACAGACCUUCAAAAUAUCAGGAAGACAGAGAUGAGGGAAGCGGGAGAGGGUGGAAUUUUACAGGCAAAACUUACAUGUGCUAAAAAAAAAAAAGGAGGUUUGGGUGAGAUUUAUUUCCCUGCCUCAAUUCCCUUUGCAGCUCACCUUUAAAGGAAAAUAUUUUUAAUGCACAUGUAUUAAAUGUACUCAUGUUCAGUUAUGAUUGUUUUUUAAUGAAUAGGAUAUUCAUUACAUAUAAGCAUAUUGAGCUUACAGAAACAGCUGGAAAAAAUAGUGUAAGCAUUCCUUACACAUAAGUGAAGAAACAAGUAUGUAUGUCUGUGUGUUUAUGUGUAUAUGUGCAUACAUAUAAAAGCCACACAGCAUAUUAUCUGAGAGAGAGCCCUCACAAGGACAUGGAUGACAUGCAUGAUGGAAUUAAAAUGACAGAGUGAGAGGUGAAAAUAAAUCAAAACAUCAAACAGAAAAGGAACA